rnacentral:tRNA from 1 species
GCCUUUGUGGUGUAACGGUAGCACACUCGGCACGCAUUGGAGAGAUCCAGGUUCGAGUCCCAGCGAAGGCA